GAUGAAGAACGUAGUGAAAUGCGAUAAGUAAUGCGAAUUGCAGAAUUCAGUGAGUCAUCGAAUCUUUGAACGCACAUUGCGCCCUUUGGUAUUCCAAAGGGCAUGCCUGUUCGAGCGUCAUUUGUACCCUCAAGCUUUGCUUGGUGUUGGGCGUCUUGUCUCUAGCUUUGCUGGAGACUCGCCUUAAAGUAAUUGGCAGCCGGCCUACUGGUUUCGGAGCGCAGCACAAGUCGCACUCUCUAUCAGCAAAGGUCUAGCAUCCAUUAAGCCUUUUUUUCAACUUUUGACCUCGGAUCAGGUAGGGAUACCCGCUGAACUUAAGCAUAUCAAUAAGCGGAGGA
rnacentral:misc_RNA from 1 species